rnacentral:rRNA from 1 species
AUUGAACGCUGGCGGCAUGCCUUACACAUGCAGGUCGAACGGCAGCGCGGGAGCAAUCCUGGCGGCGAGUGGCGAACGGGUGAGUAAUACAUCGGAACGUGCCCAAUCGUGGGGGAUAACGCAGCGAAAGCUGUGCUAAUACCGCAUACGAUCUACGGAUGAAAGCAGGGGAUCGCAAGACCUUGCGCGAAUGGAGCGGCCGAUGGCAGAUUAGGUAGUUGGUGAGGUAAAGGCUCACCAAGCCUUCGAUCUGUAGCUGGUCUGAGAGGACGACCAGCCACACUGGGACUGAGACACGGCCCAGACUCCUACGGGAGGCAGCAGUGGGGAAUUUUGGACAAUGGGCGAAAGCCUGAUCCAGCCAUGCCGCGUGCAGGAUGAAGGCCUUCGGGUUGUAAACUGCUUUUGUACGGAACGAAACGGUCUUUUCUAAUAAAGAAGGCUAAUGACGGUACCGGAAGAAUAAGCACCGGCUAACUACGUG